rnacentral:rRNA from 1 species
AUACGUAGGUGGCAAGCGUUGUCCGGAUUUAUUGGGCGUAAAGCGAGCGCAGGCGGUUUCUUAAGUCUGAUGUGAAAGCCCCCGGCUCAACCGGGGAGGGUCAUUGGAAACUGGGAGACUUGAGUGCCGAAGAGGAGAGUGGAAUUCCAUGUGUAGCGGUGAAAUGCGUAGAUAUAUGGAGGAACACCAGUGGCGAAGGCGGCUCUCUGGUCUGUAACUGACGCUGAGGCUCGAAAGCGUGGGGAGCAAACAGGAUUAGAUACCCUGGUAGUCCACGCCGUAAACGAUGAGUGCUAAGUGUUGGAGGGUUUCCGCCCUUCAGUGCUGCAGCAAACGCAUUAAGCACUCCGCCUGGGGAGUACGACCGCAAGGUUGAAACUCAAAUGAAUUGACGGGG